CUAGCAGGCAGGACUGGAGACAGAUUUGGGCAGAAGCGGCCUUCUAUAUGGGACCGGACUCUGACACCUAUGCCUGCCGGGAGGGUGUAGAGAAGGAGACUACAACUCCAAGAAUGGUUCAUUCACAUCUAUGGGAGUGUAUGUUUGCAUGCUGGGAGCUGUAGUUUCACAGCAGCUGGAGUGCCGAAGGUUGCUGCUCCCUGGUGUAGAGAGAAGCUGGCAGGCACAAACCGCCGGCAACACAGUACUAGGUGUCCUUUGGAACAGAGCUGUUUACCAACUGCACAAUGACUGAAUGGGGGGAGGAGAGCUUACAGUACAGUCUAUGUAAUCAUAUCCUGUCUUCAGAGGAUGAGCAACAUCCCUGUACUAGUAAAAAAGCUAGGCGGCUUUGCAAGUUUCGGGGUGAGUGGCUUGAAAAUGCUGAAUUUGAAACAUGGCUUGUAAAGGAACAAGGUGAUAAUACAUUGGGAAGAUGCCGUGUGUGUCGCACUACAUUCAAGGUGACAUAUGAUGGCCUUAAAGCUCUCCAAAAUUCAGACCGUCACAAGCAAGCUAUCCAUGCUCAGAAAACAUCAGAUACUCUGCAAAAGUGGAAAAAGACAAAGUCCUUGCUGCUGAAAUCAUCCUAAUCUAUCAUGGGGUUACAUCUCAUCGAAGCUAUUUGUCUCAGUUCUUUUUUAGGACUGUGCGAAUAAACUUUAUUCAAAAGUUUUUCCAGACUCUCAGAUUGCCAGGAAAAUGCAUUGUGGAAGAACAAAAUGCGAAGCAAUUGUCCAAAAUGUUUUAGUCUCCUUCAGUUGAAUCCGUAGUAAAGCAGAUUCAAGGUGGAAAACCUUUUUCAAUUUCGCUUGAUGCUUCAAACAAAGGCAUCUCCAAAUAUUUUCGACUUUCAGUGACGUAUUUCACAAUGGAUAAGGGAGUUCAGAAAAGAGUGCUGGAUUUUUAUGAGGAUGCUGAUGAAACAUUUGAUGCCUGCUCAUAUACGUCAGGUUCUGAGCUCAUUUCAGCUUGAUCUCAAACAAGUUAUUUCUUAUGGUGCAGACAAUGCAUCUGUGAACUAUGGUAUCCAUCACUCCGUGUAUACCAACCUAAGGUCAGAAAAUUCUUACCUUUUGGCUGCAGCAGGAGCGUAGCUAGAAAUGACUGGGCCCCAUAGCAAAAAAAAUUAUGGGCCCCCCCUCCCGGAUCUCCCACCCCCACAUACCUAUCGGACCUCC